ACACCAAUUAACUUUUGGUCACACUCGGUUUAUUUCUUAAUCCAGCAGCAGUCUAGAAAGAUGGAGUUAACGUGUACUAUAAUAUCUAUUAUGAGUUUUCUUAUGAUUUUACCAAGGCCCUGCAUGUCCUAUUUUUCUAGCGGGGAAGGUAGUGAUUCCGAUGAAUUCAAAUACAAGCUCCAGAAAUUACGGAACGUGAAACCCGAGAAACACGACGUACAAUAUGGACCAGAGAAGAAUGCAGGAGACCCUGCUGACGUGUUUGCCUCCAACCCGCACUACAGAUAUCCUGAAUAUUACACCGACUUGAGCAGAAGAUUUGUCCCCGUAUAUCCUUAUACGGAA